rnacentral:tRNA from 2 species
UCCCCUGUGGUGUAAUUGGCAACACUAUCGGUUUUGGUCCGAUCAUUCCAGGUUCGAGUCCUGGCGGGGGAG